UAGGAAUAGCUCAAUUGGUAGAAGAUGAGAUUCUUAAUCUCAAGGCCAUGGGUUGAACCCCAGUGGGGCAAAA